UGGGGAAUAUUGGGCAAUGGGCGACAGCCUGACCCAGCAACGCCGCGUGAAGGAAGAAGGCCUUCGGGUUGUAAACUUCUUUGACCAGGGACGAAAAAAAUGACGGUACCUGGAAAACAAGCCACGGCUACCUACGUGCCAGCAGCCGCGGUAAUACGUAGGUGGCAAGCGUUAUCCGGAUUUACUGGGUGUAAAGGGCGUGUAGGCGGCUUCGUAAGUCGGAUGUGAAAUUCCCAGGCUUAACCUGGGAGCUGCAUCCGAAACUACAGAACUGGAGUACUGGAGAGGAUAGUGGAAUUCCUAGUGUAGCGGUAAAAUGCGUAGAUAUUAGGAGGAACAUCAGUGGCGAAGGCGACUAUCUGGACAGUAACUGACGCUGAUGCGCGAAAGCGUGGGGAGCAAACA
rnacentral:rRNA from 1 species